AGCAGCCGCGGUAAUUCCAGCUCCAAUAGCGUAUAUUAAAGUUGCUGCAGUUAAAAAGCUCGUAGUUGAAUUUCGGGACCAAUAUGUCGGUCGUGCCUCGGUACGUACUGGCAUCGUUGGUUUCUCCCUUCUGACGAACCAUGAUGUCAUUUAUUUGGUGUCGUGGGGAAUCAGGACUGUUACUUUGAAAAAUUAGAGUGUUUGAGGCAGGCUAACGCUUGAAUACAUUAGCAUGGAAUAAUGAAAUAGGACGUUCGAUCCUAUUUUGUUGGUUUCUAGGAUCGACGUAAUGAUUAAUAGGGAUAGUUGGGGGCAUUAGUAUUCAAUUGUCAGAGGUGAAAUUCUUGGAUUUAUUGAAGACUAACUACUGCGAAAGCAUUUGCCAAGGAUGUUUUCAUUAAUCAAGAACGAAAGUUAGGGGAUCGAAGACGAUCAGAUACCGUCGUAGUC
rnacentral:rRNA from 1 species